rnacentral:sRNA from 1 species
UGAUAAGGCCUCUUCGACAUUGUCGGCGC